rnacentral:lncRNA from 1 species
AUAGUGACAUUCACUCAGAAUUAUAUUUCAAAAAUUGAUUACAAGGUUCAUGAUUCCUAAUGCUAGAACUGGAACUUUGCUUCCAUCUCCAACGUUCAGGAAUCUCUCGCCUUCAUCAAAUCUCCUACUGACCUGUAGACCUGCAUCGAAUUGCAAAUAUGAUAAGGGCUUCCAGUAUCCAAUACCCAGGCAGUAGUAUCACAAAUGAAAAAGUUGCAAGGUGUUAUCAUAUAAGUACCUUGCUUCUUCUUCGGCCUGUUCGG